AGGUCAUGAUGAGAUUGUUCAGUCCACAUAAAACAACACUAAUGUUUGUCAUACGUGAUAAAACAAGGAUACCAUUGGAAAAUUUAGAGCCUGUUCUUAGAGGAUGUACAUAAGGAAAGGGGAAGGCCUUUAAUAACACUAGAGAGAAGCAUAGAGUGAAGCAAUCGAUUAAGGUGCCCACGAUUAGUAACAAGCUAGCAGAUAUGAUGAUUAUUCAUGGAGGAAAUAUGGCCAAAAGCCAAUCAAGGGUUCUCCAUACCCAAGAUAAUUGAAGUCAUAUCGGGUUAAAAGUUAAGUGAUUGUGCAGAGAUGGCUAAGCGACCGUUGAAAAUUGAAGACUGAGAAGGCGUUUAGGAUUUUUAAUUAUUUAAUUCUUGUAUUAGGAUCUUUUUUCAUGUACUGUUGUAGAAUGU